rnacentral:rRNA from 1 species
UACAGAGGGUGCGAGCGUUAAUCGGAUUUACUGGGCGUAAAGCGUGCGUAGGCGGCUUUUUAAGUCGGAUGUGAAAUCCCUGAGCUUAACUUAGGAAUUGCAUUCGAUACUGGGAAGCUAGAGUAUGGGAGAGGAUGGUAGAAUUCCAGGUGUAGCGGUGAAAUGCGUAGAGAUCUGGAGGAAUACCGAUGGCGAAGGCAGCCAUCUGGCCUAAUACUGACGCUGAGGUACGAAAGCAUGGGGAGCAAACAGGAUUAGAUACCCUGGUAGUC